rnacentral:rRNA from 1 species
UACGUAGGCAGCGAGCGUUGUCCGGAUUCAUUGGGCGUAAAGCGCGCGUAGGCGGCAGGGCAAGUCGGCCGUGAAAUCUCCCAGCUUAACUGGGAGGGGUCGGGCGAGACUGCCCCGCUAGAGGCGGGUAGAGGGCAGUGGAAUUCCGGGUGUAGUGGUGGAAUGCGUAGAGAUCCGGAGGAACACCAGUGGCGAAGGCGGCCAUCUGGACCAGCACUGACGCUGAGGCACGAAAGCGUGGGGAGCAAACAGG